GAUGAACGCUGGCGGCGUGCUUAACACAUGCAAGUCGAACGAAGCACCUUGAUUCGAUUCUUCGGAUGAAGAUCUUGGUGACUGAGUGGCGGACGGGUGAGUAACGCGUGGGUAACCUGCCUCAUACAGGGGGAUAACAGUUAGAAAUGACUGCUAAUACCUCAUAAGACCACAGCACCGCAUGGUGCAGGGGUAAAAACUCCGGUGGUAUGAGAUGGACCCGCGUCUGAUUAGGUAGUUGGUGGGGUAACGGCCUACCAAGCCGACGAUCAGUAGCCGACCUGAGAGGGUGACCGGCCACAUUGGGACUGAGACACGGCCCAAACUCCUACGGGAGGCAGCAGUGGGGAAUAUUGCACAAUGGGGGAAACCCUGAUGCAGCGACGCCGCGUGAGCGAUGAAGUAUUUCGGUAUGUAAAGCUCUAUCAGCAGGGAAGAAAAUGACGGUACCUGACUAAGAAGCACCGGCUAAAUACGUG
rnacentral:rRNA from 1 species